rnacentral:rRNA from 1 species
CCUAAAAUGGAAAAAAACACCCUUGUAAAGGCAUUUUAUUCCGGUGCCAGAAUAAAUGUAUAGUAUAGCUUAAUAUGGGUAGUAAAUAAUAUUCCCAGUUAAUAGUUUUAAAACUAACAUUAAUGAAAAUUAAAUUUAGGUAACUAAUUAACCUAGGUCAAUUAGGUGCCAGCAACCGCGGUCAAACCUAAUAGGCUAAUUUACCUUUAGUCGUAUUGUUAUUUGUUUAACAUACUUACAUAUCUAAUUAUUUUUAAUUAUCGUGGUGAAAUACACAAUGUAAUAUACUCCUAUAUUAGUAAAAUUGUAAUAAAUUCUAAAUCAUAAACUCGGAUUAGAUACCCAACUAUAAAGAAAUUAUAUUAUACAAUACAGGGAUUAAAACUAAUACUAAUAAAGUUCAAACCUAAAUAAUAUGGCGGCUAAGAAAAUUUAUUAGGGGAACUUACCAUAUAAUUGAUAACCACCAAGUAAAAGCUACUUACUUUACAAAAGCUUGUAUACCGUUGUAUUGAACUUUACCUUGAGGUAGGCUUCAAACAUAUAUUUUAUAAUUUUACAAAUCAAAGUGCAGCUAAUAAGUGAGAAAUAAGGUGAGUUACAUUAUCUAAUUUUUUUUCGAAUUAAAGGUUGUAACAUGAUUUAAGAAGGUGGACUUAAUAGUAUAAUCUAAAUAAAUAAAUAUAGUUAGAAUAAUUAUUUCUUAGUGUACAAAU